AAUAAAUGAGCACGUUAGCACGUUAUUGUAAUAUCCCAUAGUACAUACAUGUUAUUAAAACUUGAACUAAUGCACUGUGAGUCUUAUAAAUUGCUUACAUACCUCACCGAUUUCCCACUGUCUGGAAAACGCUCGGUUUAGUUCCUGUCUCCGCCUCCCAAAAUGUCUAGUGUAUUCGGAUUGGUCAGAUGACUACUCAACUGUUAUUGGUCAACUGGGUUCGGCGUGUGUUUGAAAGGUUACGCCCCUGACUACGCGUGGGUUUUCCGGUUCUGACUGAGAGUCACAGGCAACGUAAACAAGCGCUAUAUUUCUCUAUAAACGAUGGUGUCUGUACUGCCUUACCACUUCAAGCUCGAUCCAGAGAGUUCAGACGGCGUUACGAUAUAAACGAUCUCCGUCAAUUAACGCGAUUGGAUUUAACUUUUUUAGGUGUCCUUAGCUCUGCCAGAAUGCUAAACGAAGACGAAAAUGUGUUGCAAAGACAUCCAAAAGGUUUUAAGGAGAAUGCAACAGGUUCCAGGGCCUCUUACCUGCGUGAUUCAUCAUCCAGAUACGCUUGGAGCUUCCUGAUCAGAUCGGUCACAAUUUUGGCUUUCGAUGACCCCUGCACUGAAGAUGGCAUGCAAUCACGUCCUCCUUUGAAGGUCUCUCAAACUGUGAUGCCAGGUCCAUUGGAAUCGGGGUU